GACGAACGCUGGCGGCGUGCUUAACACAUGCAAGUCGAACGGAAAGGCCCUGCUUGCAGGGUACUCGAGUGGCGAACGGGUGAGUAACACGUGGGUGAUCUGCCCUGCACUUCGGGAUAAGCUUGGGAAACUGGGUCUAAUACCGGAUAGGAACCAUCUUUAGUGUGGUGGUUGGAAAGUUUUUUCGGUGUAGGAUGAGCUCGCGGCCUAUCAGCUUGUUGGUGGGGUAAUGGCCUACCAAGGCGGCGACGGGUAGCCGGCCUGAGAGGGUGUACGGCCACAUUGGGACUGAGGUACGGCCCAGACUCCUACGGGAGGCAGCAGUGGGGAAUAUUGCACAAUGGGCGCAAGCCUGAUGCAGCGACGCCGCGUGGGGGAUGAAGGCCUUCGGGUUGUAAACUCCUUUCGCUAGGGACGAAGCGUUGUUGUGACGGUACCUAGAUAAGAAGCACCGGCUAACUACGUG
rnacentral:rRNA from 1 species